AGACACAGCCAUAUCACCCUGCAGCCCAAGACCGGUUACUCACUGAAGCUAAGCAGGGCUGAACCUGGUCAGUGUCUGGAUGGGAGACCACUAGGGAACACUAGGUUGCUGUUGGAA
rnacentral:rRNA from 1 species